UACGGAGGGUGCAAGCGUUACUCGGAAUCACUGGGCGUAAAGGAUGCGUAGGCUGGAAAUCAAGUCGAGAGUGAAAUCCAACGGCUCAACCGUUGAACUGCUCUCGAAACUGGUUACCUAGAAUAUGGGAGAGGUAGAUGGAAUUAGUGGUGUAGGGGUAAAAUCCGUAGAUAUCACUAGGAAUACCGAUUGCGAAGGCGAUCUACUGGAACAUUAUUGACGCUGAGGCAUGAAAGCGUGGGGAGCAAACAGGAUUAGAUACCCCCGUAGUCC
rnacentral:rRNA from 1 species